rnacentral:rRNA from 1 species
AGGACGAACGCUGGCGGCGUGCUUAACACAUGCAAGUCGAGCGGUAAGGCCUUUCGGGGUACACGAGCGGCGAACGGGUGAGUAACACGUGGGUGAUCUGCCCUGCACUCUGGGAUAAGCCUGGGAAACUGGGUCUAAUACCGGAUAUGACUGCAUGCCGCAUGGUGUGUGGUGGAAAGCCUUAUGUGGUGCAGGAUGGGCCCGCGGCCUAUCAGCUUGUUGGUGGGGUAAUGGCCUACCAAGGCGACGACGGGUAGCCGACCUGAGAGGGUGACCGGCCACACUGGGACUGAGACACGGCCCAGACUCCUACGGGAGGCAGCAGUGGGGAAUAUUGCACAAUGGGCGGAAGCCUGAUGCAGCGACGCCGCGUGAGGGAUGAAGGCCUUCGGUUGUAAACCUCUUUCAGCAGGACGAAGCGCAAGUGACGGUACUGCAGAAGAAGCACCGCUAACUACGUGCCAACAGCCGC